GGAGUCUGUGAGGAGAGAGGUAUUACGUUGCCGAGAGCAGCAAAGGCCGCUAAGCUCUGGGCCUCUGAGCUGCCCAGCCUGCCCAGUCCCCGUCAGCCAGGGUGCUCUGGAGAACCAGGACGAUGCAGAAACAGAAGACAGUAUGCAGAGAACACAAGCAGUGAGCCUGUUGGAGGAACAGCUCACAGCAUGGUGGCCAGUGCUGUUCUAUGAGAGCUGCAAGGACACAGGACAGAGUGAUGACUCCCCAACCCCCACCACUCACAGACAAGGAGGCUGAGCCCGAAAGAGGCAGAGUGACCAGGGGCUGGGCAGCUGAGUUGGUGCAGAGG